UUGUAGACGUAGCUUUGGGUGUGGUGCCGGUCUAAGUUCCUUGGAACAGGACGUCAUAGAGGGUGAGANUCCCGUAUGUGAUCGGUCGCCUUCGCCCGUGUAAAGCGCGUUCGACGAGUCGAGUUGUUUGGGAAUGCAGCUCAAAAUGGGUGGUAAAUUUCAUCUAAAGCUAAAUAUUGGCCAGAGACCGAUAGCGCACAAGUAGAGUGAUCGAAAGAUGAAAAGCACUUUGGAAAGAGAGUUAAACAGUACGUGAAAUUGUUGAAAGGGAAGCGCUUGCAACCAGACUUGGGCUGUUGCAAUCAUCCGGGGCUCGCCCCGGUGCACUUGUGGCGGCACAGGCCAGCAUCAGUUUGGGUGGUGGGAUAAAGGCCUUGGGAAUGUAGCUCCUCUCGGGGAGUGUUAUAGCCCUCGGUGCAAUGCUGCCUACCUGGACUGAGGACCGCGCUUCGGCUAGGAUGCUGGCGUAAUGGUUGUAAGCGACC
rnacentral:rRNA from 1 species